rnacentral:rRNA from 1 species
CCUACGGGCGGCUGCAGUGGGGAAUAUUGCGCAAUGGGCGAAAGCCUGACGCAGCGACGCCGCGUGAGGGAUGAAGGUCUUCGGAUCGUAAACCUCUGUCAGCAGGGAAGAACGGUCACUGUGCUAAUCAGCAGUGAAUUGACGGUACCUGCAAAGGAAGCACCGGCUAACUCCGUGCCAGCAGCCGCGGUAAUACGGAGGGUGCGAGCGUUAAUCGGAAUUACUGGGCGUAAAGCGCUCGUAGGCGGUAUGUCAAGUCAAGUGUGAAAUCACCGCGCCCAACGUGGGAACUGCAUUUGAAACGGGCAAACUUGAGUGUGUUAGAGGAUAGGGGAAGUCCAGGUGUAGGAGUGAAAUCCGUAGAUAUCUGGAGGAACAUCAGUGGCGAAGGCGACUAUCUGGCACAUAACUGACGCUGAGGAGCGAAAGCGUGGGUAGCAAACAGGAUUAGAUACCCCAGUAGUC